rnacentral:rRNA from 1 species
CCCUUAGAUGUUCUGGGCUGCACGCGUGCUACACUGAGUAAAUCAAUGGGUAAGGGAACACGAAAGUGCAACCUAAUCUUGAAAUUUGCUCGUGAUGGGGAUCGACGGUUGCAAUUUUCCGUCGUGAACGAGGAAUACCUUGUAGGCGCGUGUCAUCAUCACGCGCCGAAUACGUCCCUGCCCUUUGUACACACCGCCCGUCGCUCCUACCGAUUGAGUGAUCCGGUGAGGCUCUGGGACCUGGACGGAAAGAGCGUUUCGCUUGUUCUGUUUGGGAAACUUGGUCGAACCUUAUCAUUUAGAGGAAGGAGAAGUCGUAACA